rnacentral:tRNA from 1 species
GCGCCCCCUGGUGCGUCUGGCUACGAACCAGGGGGUAGGAGGUUCGAAUCCUUCCGGGCGCGCCA